UCCAGACUCCUACGGGAGGCAGCAGUGAGGAAUAUUGGUCAAUGGGCUUACGCCUGAACCAGCCAAGUCGCGUGAGGGAGGACUGCCCCAUGGGUUGUAAACCUCUUUUGUCAGGGAGCAACGCCGGCUACGUGUAGCCGGACUGAGAGUACCUGAAGAAAAAGCAUCGGCUAACUCCGUGCCAGCAGCCGCGGUAAUACGGAGGAUGCGAGCGUUAUCCGGAUUUAUUGGGUUUAAAGGGUGCGUAGGCGGAAUGCCAAGUCAGCGGUAAAAUCGCGGGGCUCAACCUCGCUCCGCCGUUGAAACUGGCGUUCUUGAGUGGGCGAGAAGUAUGCGGAAUGCGUGGUGUAGCGGUGAAAUGCAUAGAUAUCACGCAGAACUCCGAUUGCGAAGGCAGCAUGCCGGCGCCCAACUGACGCUGAAGCACGAAAGCGUGGGUAUCGAACAGGAUUAGAUACCCGCGUAG
rnacentral:rRNA from 1 species